rnacentral:rRNA from 1 species
AACGAACGCUGGCGGCAUGCUAAACACAUGCAAGUCGAACGAGACCUUCGGGUCUAGUGGCGCACGGGUGCGUAACGCGUGGGAAUCUGCCCUUUGCUACGGAAUAACUCAGAGAAAUUUGUGCUAAUACCGUAUAAUGUCGUAAGACCAAAGAUUUAUCGGCAAAGGAUGAGCCCGCGUAAGAUUAGCUAGUUGGUGAGGUAAAGGCUCACCAAGGCGACGAUCUUUAGCUGGUCUGAGAGGAUGAUCAGCCACACUGGGACUGAGACACGGCCCAGACUCCUACGGGAGGCAGCAGUGGGGAAUAUUGGACAAUGGGCGAAAGCCUGAUCCAGCAAUGCCGCGUGAGUGAUGAAGGCCUUAGGGUUGUAAAGCUCUUUUACCAGGGAUGAUAAUGACAGUACCUGGAGAAUAAGCUCCGGCUAACUCCGUGCCAGCCGCCGCCGUAA